GUGUCAGCAGCCGCGGUAAUACGGAGGGUGCGAGCGUUGUCCGGAAUCACUGGGCGUAAAGGGCGCGUAGGUGGUCCCUUAAGCGUGUGGUGAAAGCUCGGGGCUCAACCUCGAGUCGGCCAUGCGAACUGGGGGACUGGAGCACUGUAGAGGCAGGUGGAAUUCCGGGUGUAGCGGUGGAAUGCGUAGAGAUCCGGAAGAACACCGGUGGCGAAGGCGGCCUGCUGGGCAGUUGCUGACACUGAGGCGCGACAGCGUGGGGAGCAAACAGGAUUAGAAACCCCCGUAGUCC
rnacentral:rRNA from 1 species